UACGAAGGGGGCUAGCGUUGCUCGGAAUUACUGGGCGUAAAGGGAGCGUAGGCGGACUGUUAAGUUAGAGGUGAAAGCCCAGGGCUCAACCUUGGAAUUGCCUUUGAUACUGGCAGUCUUGAGUACGGAAGAGGUAUGUGGAGCUCCGAGUGUAGAGGUGAAAUUCGUAGAUAUUCGGAAGAACACCAGUGGCGAAGGCGACAUACUGGUCCGUUACUGACGCUGAGGCUCGAAAGCGUGGGGAGCAAACAGG
rnacentral:rRNA from 1 species